rnacentral:rRNA from 2 species
UGGUUCAGGAUGAACGCUGGCGGCGUGCCUAAUACAUGCAAGUCGAGCGAACUGAUUAGAAGCUUGCUUCUAUGACGUUAGCGGCGGACGGGUGAGUAACACGUGGGCAACCUGCCUGUAAGACUGGGAUAACUUCGGGAAACCGAAGCUAAUACCGGAUAGGAUCUUCUCCUUCAUGGGAGAUGAUUGAAAGAUGGUUUCGGCUAUCACUUACAGAUGGGCCCGCGGUGCAUUAGCUAGUUGGUGAGGUAACGGCUCACCAAGGCAACGAUGCAUAGCCGACCUGAGAGGGUGAUCGGCCACACUGGGACUGAGACACGGCCCAGACUCCUACGGGAGGCAGCAGUAGGGAAUCUUCCGCAAUGGACGAAAGUCUGACGGAGCAACGCCGCGUGAGUGAUGAAGGCUUUCGGGUCGUAAAACUCUGUUGUUAGGGAAGAACAAGUACGAGAGUAACUGCUCGUACCUUGACGGUACCU